UGUCCGGCCUCUAUAGCAAGUCUACAUGAAGACUGGUGCAGAUCAGGAUCCUUGAAAGUGCUAGCUUGUAAGGAACUCGUAGGCUGAUUUCUUCUUUCUUUUUCAAGGGCCUUGGAUGCUCCAAAGGAGGAAAAGAUCUAGAGGAGGAAGAGAGGAAGAGGAGGAGAAGCUCUACAAACAAAAACACCAGCAAGGAAACGAAGAUGUGACGCCA
rnacentral:lncRNA from 1 species